CUUACAAAACCCUCCAUCCUUCUGAGACUUCUCAGAUGAGGAAAAUGCAUUGUGUAAUUGCAGUGGAUAAAGCUAAAGAUCAGUACUCCAGUGUUCUGGCAGCAGACAAGCCCUUUCUUAGGACUCGUCCUUCAUCUCUGCUUGCUCACUGUUUCUCAGUCCCGGUAGGAAAACUACAGAGACACUGGGAGAAAGACAAUGUAUUGGUUCCGCUCGCCUGGAGAGAAGGUUUGUGAGCGCACGAUCAUGCUGUUCCUGACAAAGGGACGCUGUCUGGAGCUCCAGCUGCCUCUGUCCUUGGGCCGGACUGCUGCGUUCUCGUUAACUGAUUCCUCAGUAUUAGUCUCUUUAUCAACCUGUGAGAAGGAAUUUAGUUUAGAAGAGCUUCUACACGCAGACACGUCUGCCCAGCCUGGUCUUAGCAAAACACUGAUGUGCCUGCCUAACCUUCAGAUGUUGUCCGUGAUGUCUCCCCCUUGCCAAGAACCUGUGGGCUUAAUGCGUGCAACAGUGCUUUCAUUAAGAUGCAGAGCAGUGCUCUAAAAAAUUUAUUUUUAGAGUGUGUGCUACUACAUUAGGGAUAUGUUUACUAAAAAUUUACUGAAAGUGCCUUCAGAAAGGUGGAAUAUAACUUGAAGUGAACAAGUACAUGAAAUUGGAUUUUGUUAUGGGCAGUGUGGGUAGGUAGUUCAGCAGUACACAGUUUAAUACACAUUUUGCAAUUUUCUCUUCA